rnacentral:rRNA from 1 species
CGGGUGUACCGUAAAGUCGGUAACCGUAAGGACGCCGCCUAGGGUAAAACUAGUGACUGGGGCU